AUACGGAAGGUCCGGGCGUUAUCCGGAUUUAUUGGGUUUAAAGGGAGCGCAGGCGGAGAUGCAAGCGUGACGUCAAAUUUCGGGGCUCAACCCCGUCUCGCGUCGCGAACUGCGUCCCUUGGUUGCGGGAAGGGGAGGCGGAACUCGUGGUGUAGCGGUGAAAUGCAUAGAUAUCACGAAGAACUCCGAUCGCGAAGGCAGCCUUCCGGCCCGUCAACGACGCUCAUGCUCGAAGGUGCGGGUAUCAAACAGGAUUAGAUACCCUGGUAGUCCGCACAGUAAACGAUGGACACCCGCGGUUUGGCCUGCAUGGCUGAGCCGCCAAGCGAAAGCGUUAAGUGUCCCACCUGGGGAGUACGCCGGCAACGGUGAAACUUAAAGGAAUUGGCGGGG
rnacentral:rRNA from 1 species